GAAAAAGUUAUAUAUCGAAUAAAGAAAUAACAGGCAAGGAAACCAUGAUUACGUCAAUUUACAUAUAUUGUAUAGUUAUAUGUUGUCACAUUACCAUGACUUUGCCCAUAAGAUGUUGCAUCUGGCACCAGGACAUUAACAGCAGAUCCUUUGAGUCCUGCAAGUGGCGAGGUGGGGCCUCCAAGGAUCGGAUUUGUUGUUCCAGCAAAUUCCACAAAUGCUCAAUCAGAUUGAGAUCUGGGAAAUUUGGAGGCCAAGGCAACAACUUCAACUCUUUGUCAUGUUCCUCAAAAUAUUCCUGAUCAAUCUCUGCACUGUGUCAGGGUACAUUAGCCUGCUGAAAGAGGUCACUGCAUCAUGGAACACCAUUGUUAUGACAGGGUGUACAUUGUCUGCAACAAUUUCUUGGUAGGUGGUACAUGUCCAAAUAACAUCCACAUGAAUGUCAGGAUACAAAGUUUCCAAGCAGAACAUUACCCAAAGUAUAGCGCUGCCUCUGCUGGCCUGCCUUCUUCCAUUAGUGCUUCCUGCUGCCCAGAUAAGUGACGCACACGUACCUUGUCAUCCCUCUAAUCUAAAAGAAAAUGUGAUUCAUCAGACCAAGUAACCUUCUGCCAUUGCUCCACAGUCCAGUUCUGAUGAUCACAUCCCCAUUGAACGCACUUUUGUCAGUGGACAUAGAUCAUGAGCACUGUAAACGGUCUGCAGUUAUGCAGCAAAACAGAGAUGCACUGUGUGUUGACAACUUUCUAUCAAGGUCAGCAUUUAGUUUUUCAGCAAUUCCAGCUACAGUAACUCUACAGUUUGUGUGAUCAGAAAAGCUAGCAUUCGCUCACUAGGUGCAUCAAAGGAUCCUUGGCCAUCCUUAACUUCGGUUAACCAGUUGCCUUUCUUUGUCCCAUUUUUUAGUAGAUGGGACAUCCUACAAGACUUGCCAUUUUGGAGAUGCUCUGGGCCAG